AACAGGGAUUGCCUCAGUAACGGCGAGUGAAGCGGCAACAGCUCAAAUUUGAAAUCUGGCCCCAGGCCCGAGUUGUAAUUUGCAGAGGAUGCUUUUGGUGCGGUGCCUUCCAAGUUCCCUAGAACGGGACGCCAGAGAGGGUGAGAGCCCCGUACAGUUGGACACCAAGCCUUUGUAAAGCUCCUUCGACGAGUCGAGUAGUUUGGGAAUGCUGCUCAAAAUGGGAGGUAUAUUUCUUCUAAAGCUAAAUACCGGCCAGAGACCGAUAGCGCACAAGUAGAGUGAUCGAAAGAUGAAAAGCACUUUGAAAAGAGGGUUAAACAGCACGUGAAAUUGUUAAAAGGGAAGCGCUUGUGACCAGACUUGCGUCCGGUGAAUCACCCAGCUCUCGCGGCUGGGGCACUUCGCCGGCUCAGGCCAGCAUCAGCUCGCUGUCGGGGACAAAAGCUUCAGGAACGUAGCUCUCUUCGGGGAGUGUUAUAGCCUGUUGCACAAUACCCUUCGGCGGGCUGAGGUACGCGCUCCGCAAGGAUGCUGGCAUAAUGGUCAUCAGCGACCGCUC
rnacentral:rRNA from 1 species